UUUCGCACUUUUACUUUCGCUCUAUCGAAUUUAAAUUUUGCUCUCUCGGUUUAAGGGUGGACAGAUUUUCCAGUCUUCCCUUUCCCGCCUUCGGAAAUCUAACGGAUUUAUGGAAAAGAACAUAUGUUGUCACUCGUUGCCCAGCAACCCGUCUGAGGACGCGCCUGAAGACAUGACGUCAUCCAGGCCUCCUGAUUCGCCGUCAAACGGAGAGCUUGAAAGCUCUCAUCCGGGCUGAGAGGAAACUGACCGUGGCCUUAAGCGCCUUUCUCUGCGGAGCACUAAACAUCCCUAUUAACUCUUCUGCGUCCAUACUGUGACAUCUGACAGAGGCGAUUUCUUCCUGAAGCUUUUCAGUUACUUCCAGUGUGAAGUACUUCUCAUACUGCCGCUCAAGGACAGCAAUAGUCGACUGAAGACAAGACGACAUCAUUGGAGCAAACAGACGAUGACGAGGAAUAGCCCUCAACUUCACUAAUGUACUGCCCAACACAAUCUCUUGACUGAAAAAAUCCUCUGUGCUUGAUAGAAUCUGACUCGGGUCCUCCAACAUGUCCAUGACCUGCAUGACCAGUUCAAUGGCAUCAACAUGAGUAAUCUCGAAAUCCAACGCAGUGUACAGUUUAGUCAUCUAAGGACCUGUCAAGUACUUCGCAAUGAUUCCUAGCACUUGCAGUUCAACUUGAGUUACGUGUCUUGAAAAAUCUUUCUGAAGGCUUCCUCUCAGGCCACCUAGGGAUGUGCCAUCUUUCAGUAACUCUGAAAAAGCCUCAUACAGCAGCAUUGUGAAAAAGUAUGGGAAGUCUAUUGCCUCUGUAACCCGGUAGAAUGCCCCUUGGGAGUUUCUUCCGAUCCAAAAAAGUCACAAAAGCACAUGGGUCUCGCUUUCAGUCCUUAUAGCGAAGCUUGUUAAAAGAGUAUGACAUUUGCUGCCAUACAGUCCCUCCCAUAAACAUUACCGCCAGUUUCUUCAAGUUUCUUCAAUGCUGACCUACAUGCUGGUGCUAUUG
rnacentral:lncRNA from 1 species